AGCUGCUCUCCUUUGAAGGGAAGGACCUGUACGAGCGCCCCCUGCUCAACCACCGCCUCCGCACCCUCAUACUGAGCGGUAACAGGAUAGGAGACAGAGGUGUGACUGUCCUCACCUCCUCGCUGAUU
rnacentral:ribozyme from 1 species